rnacentral:rRNA from 1 species
UAUGGUCAAGUGAAGAAGCGCAUACGGUGGAUGCCUUGGCAGUCAGAGGCGAUGAAAGACGUGGUAGCCUGCGAAAAGCUUCGGGGAGUCGGCAAACAGACUUUGAUCCGGAGAUGUCUGAAUGGGGGAACCCAGCCAUCAUAAGAUGGUUAUCUUGUACUGAAUACAUAGGUGCAAGAGGCGAACCAGGGGAACUGAAACAUCUAAGUACCCUGAGGAAAAGAAAUCAACCGAGAUUCCCUUAGUAGUGGCGAGCGAACGGGGACUAGCCCUUAAGUGGCUUUGAGAUUAGCGGAACGCUCUGGAAAGUGCGGCCAUAGUGGGUGAUAGCCCUGUACGCGAAAAUCUCUUAGUCAUGAAAUCGAGUAGGACGGGGCACGAGAAACCUUGUCUGAAUAUGGGGGGACCAUCCUCCAAGGCUAAAUACUACUGACUGACCGAUAGUGAACUAGUACCGUGAGGGAAAGGCGAAAAGAACCCCGGAGAGGGGAGUGAAAUAGAUCCUGAAACCGUAUGCGUACAAGCAGUGGGAGCCCACUUUGUUGGGUGACUGCGUACCUUUUGUAUAAUGGGUCAGCGACUUAUUUUCAGUGGCGAGCUUAACCGAAUAGGGGAGGCGUAGCGAAAGCGAGUCUUAAUAGGGCGUCUAGUCGCUGGGAAUAGACCCGAAACCGGGCGAUCUAUCCAUGGGCAGGUUGAAGGUUGGGUAACACUAACUGGAGGACCGAACCGACUACCGUUGAAAAGUUAGCGGAUGACCUGUGGAUCGGAGUGAAAGGCUAAUCAAGCUCGGAGAUAGCUGGUUCUCCUCGAAAGCUAUUUAGGUAGCGCCUCAUGUAUCACUGUAGGGGGUAGAGCACUGUUUCGGCUAGGGGGUCAUCCCGACUUACCAAACCGAUGCAAACUCCGAAUACCUACAAGUGCCGAGCAUGGGAGACACACGGCGGGUGCUAACGUCCGUCGUGAAAAGGGAAACAACCCAGACCGUCAGCUAAGGUCCCAAAGUCAUGGUUAAGUGGGAAACGAUGUGGGAAGGCUUAGACAGCUAGGAGGUUGGCUUAGAAGCAGCCACCCUUUAAAGAAAGCGUAAUAGCUCACUAGUCGAGUCGGCCUGCGCGGAAGAUGUAACGGGGCUCAAACCAUGCACCGAAGCUACGGGUAUCACUUAGGUGAUGCGGUAGAGGAGCGUUCUGUAAGCCUGUGAAGGUGAGUUGAGAAGCUUGCUGGAGGUAUCAGAAGUGCGAAUGCUGACAUGAGUAACGACAAUGGGUGUGAAAAACACCCACGCCGAAAGACCAAGGUUUCCUGCGCAACGUUAAUCGACGCAGGGUUAGUCGGUCCCUAAGGCGAGGCUGAAAAGCGUAGUCGAUGGAAAACAGGUUAAUAUUCCUGUACUUCUGGUUAUUGCGAUGGAGGGACGGAGAAGGCUAGGCCAGCUUGGCGUUGGUUGUCCAAGUUUAAGGUGGUAGGCUGAGAUCUUAGGUAAAUCCGGGAUCUUAAGGCCGAGAGCUGAUGACGAGUUGCCAUUAGGCGACGAAGUGGUUGAUGCCAUGCUUCCAAGAAAAGCUUCUAAGCUUCAGGUAACCAGGAACCGUACCCCAAACCGACACAGGUGGUUGGGUAGAGAAUACCAAGGCGCUUGAGAGAACUCGGGUGAAGGAACUAGGCAAAAUGGCACCGUAACUUCGGGAGAAGGUGCGCCGGUGAGGGUGAAGGACUUGCUCCGUAAGCCCAUGCCGGUCGAAGAUACCAGGCCGCUGCGACUGUUUAUUAAAAACACAGCACUCUGCAAACACGAAAGUGGACGUAUAGGGUGUGACGCCUGCCCGGUGCCGGAAGGUUAAUUGAUGGGGUUAGCUAACGCGAAGCUCUUGAUCGAAGCCCCGGUAAACGGCGGCCGUAACUAUAACGGUCCUAAGGUAGCGAAAUUCCUUGUCGGGUAAGUUCCGACCUGCACGAAUGGCGUAACGAUGGCGGCGCUGUCUCCACCCGAGACUCAGUGAAAUUGAAAUCGCUGUGAAGAUGCAGUGUAUCCGCGGCUAGACGGAAAGACCCCGUGAACCUUUACUAUAGCUUUGCACUGGACUUUGAAUUUGCUUGUGUAGGAUAGGUGGGAGGCUUUGAAGCGUGGACGCCAGUUCGCGUGGAGCCAACCUUGAAAUACCACCCUGGCAACUUUGAGGUUCUAACUCAGGUCCGUUAUCCGGAUCGAGGACAGUGUAUGGUGGGUAGUUUGACUGGGGCGGUCUCCUCCUAAAGAGUAACGGAGGAGUACGAAGGUGCGCUCAGACCGGUCGGAAAUCGGUCGUAGAGUAUAAAGGCAAAAGCGCGCUUGACUGCGAGACAGACACGUCGAGCAGGUACGAAAGUAGGUCUUAGUGAUCCGGUGGUUCUGUAUGGAAGGGCCAUCGCUCAACGGAUAAAAGGUACUCCGGGGAUAACAGGCUGAUACCGCCCAAGAGUUCAUAUCGACGGCGGUGUUUGGCACCUCGAUGUCGGCUCAUCACAUCCUGGGGCUGAAGCCGGUCCCAAGGGUAUGGCUGUUCGCCAUUUAAAGUGGUACGCGAGCUGGGUUUAGAACGUCGUGAGACAGUUCGGUCCCUAUCUGCCGUGGACGUUUGAGAUUUGAGAGGGGCUGCUCCUAGUACGAGAGGACCGGAGUGGACGAACCUCUGGUGUUCCGGUUGUCACGCCAGUGGCAUUGCCGGGUAGCUAUGUUCGGGAAAGAUAACCGCUGAAAGCAUCUAAGCGGGAAACUUGCCUCAAGAUGAGAUCUCACUGGAACCUUGAGUUCCCUGAAGGGCCGUCGAAGACUACGACGUUGAUAGGUUGGGUGUGUAAGCGCUGUGAGGCGUUGAGCUAACCAAUACUAAUUGCCCGUGAGGCUUGACCAUA